GGGCACCUGGUAGACCUGGCCCAGCCCUCAGCUAGCUCAGCUGAUGGACUGAGCCAGGGGGCCAAGUUCCC
rnacentral:pre_miRNA from 1 species